CCUUCUUGUUUCACUAAAUUGCACAAAUUGAGGCCCUAAUCAAGACAAUUACUCUUGCAUGUUGGUAGAUUCUUGAUCUUCUAGGUCCAUUCAAGCAUAAGGAAUUAAGGAGGAAAGCACAAGCCGUUCCGAGUCUCAAACGAAGAACGAUAAAGGUAAAGCGACUUGCUAAAUGACGCUACUUGGAUCGAACACGCCCAUGAUGCACGCUUCCGCAAAGAUAUUAGUUUGGGUCAAAACUUUUGUUAAAUAUACUUUUGGUAAAUGGGUCUUUUUGUAAGUAACAAACUUGUUCGUUGUUAGA